ensembl:lncRNA
AUUCCUCUCUCAAGAUCACUCUUUGUGGAGUUUAUCAUAUGCCUACAACACUGACUUAUGACCUUCGUGAGCUGGGAUUAUUCAUCAGAAAAAGUCCACUUUCCAGUAUAUAUCCAUGUGAAGAAACACACCACUCACAGGAACAAACAACCACAGGGUUCAUUUUCAGACAAGAAGACUGCUCACUAUCUGACUUCAUUAGUGCCGAGUAUAUCUAUACAUACACGAGCAUAAACAUUCGAACAAACUAAAUUACACCUUGAGAAGGUUAAGAUGGGAAAUCCUCCAAACUAAACUAGCAAUUUCCUGUUUCACGGCUUCUCAAGUGUAAUGCAGCUGACAGGUGGGGGAAGCAAGAGAAAAUGUAUGUUUAAAGGCAGGGUUAGCUUUGGAUUUUAGGAACACCAAGCUUACAAAAGAAACAACUUGUUUUUCUCAUGCUGCCUUAAUUCUGUCAGAGGCCUGAUCCAACUUUUGUUGGUAUGUGAAAUAAACGAGAAUGCAAAAUGACAGAGAGCUCCUGAAUGGAAUCCAUCAGCAAUUUUACAAAAAAAAAUCCAUAUCUCAGUUUGGAAUUUUAUAACAGGAUUUGCCUCUUUAUUAUUGCAUUCAUCCCCCAAUCACAUAUUGCAAAUGCAUUUGUAUGCUUUGGUGAUAACCCUGUAUCUUAUUCAUUGGGUGCCAUGUAUCAAACUGAUUGGGCUUCACCUUGUUUUGAUGAAAUUCUGAAACACAGGGAGACAGUCUUACUAGUUUUAACUAAAGCAACAGAUGUUGCAUACUCAAUAGAAACAUUUGCCAAAUUUAAGCAUCAUUUUAUUUGAGAUACCUCUGCUUUCCUAGCUGCUCUAAGGGAAUUCUGAAACAUGUUUAGACAAGGACAGAGAGCAGUCACCACAUCCAACGGGGUUAUGAUGAAGCUCCUUGAGUCACUGUCUUAAUCCCCAGCAAGGCACGCUUAAUGUCACAGAGUGCCUCCUGCUAUUUGCACCUUUAUAAGUUUUGUUCAUGUAUGAUUACAGUUAUUAUCUACUAUUACUUGUGCAAAUCAACAGAUUUUAAAAGCGGUUGCACAGGCAGAUGCAGUAAAAAAUGACUCAGAUUCUACAGCCAAUCGAAUAGCUUUUUAGAUUGGUUGCAGAAGAUUUUACUGUUUUAGGCACUCCUGACAAUAAUAGCAAAAAGCAGCACAAUACAAUAGUUGAAGCUUUUUAAGAAAAGUUUCUUUCAGGUACUUUUCUUGAAAAGAUUUACCAAUAAAGGCUAAUCUAGUUAGAGAACUAUAUUAAAUCUCAUGAAAGAAUGUAACAUCCUCCACUUUGGAAGAAAAAUUGAAGUAUUCAGCUAAUAAUGCAUCUCAAAUAAUACUGCAGUCUGUUCCAGGAUUUACAAGAGUAAACAAA